CCACAACUCCAAGAAACAUACAAUUCUUCACUUCCGUUUGAUAGGGUAGUCUCAAACGGAGCUCAUCUAGUUUGUUCUCCAGUGAUUGUACGUGCCAAGCGAACGGAGGGUAGAAGAGGUUUAUGAACUCCUUGACAUGGUUUCGUCUGGGUGCCCAGUGCCCAUACGUCAGCUUUUCUCACACCGCCUUUUUCUUUUCAGAGUCUCUGGGACUAGGGCCUGGCCCGGGGUGAGCAGUAUGUCCUGCGCCUCCGAAUCUUUGAAGUACAAAUCUUCAUCCGAAACGAGAGACUAUUACAGCGGCUCUCCGAAGAAAAUAUUACGGUCACUUUUUUCACACUGAUAUCAUGGAGUAACCAUGGUAACAGCGGAUGUUUAAGCAAGCGGAGGCCUACCUCCUACCUGUUUAUAACGCAAUAGGCUACAACCCAAGGUGAAGAAGCCGGAUGUGGAGGUCUUGGGCUGGCGUGGUUAUACAUGGUCUGCAGCUGUGAGGCCGGUUGGAAGUACUGCCAAAUUCUCUAAAACGACAUUGGCGGCAGCUUAUGGUGGAGAAAUUAACAUUCAAUUCUCUAGCAACAGCUCUGGUGGACAUUUCUGCAGUCAACAUGCCAAUUGCACACUCCCUCAAAACUUGAGACAUCUGUGUCAUUGUGUUGUGUGACAAAACUGCACAUUUUAAAGUGGCAUUUUAUUGUCCCCAGCACAAGGUGCACCUGUGUAAUGAUCAUGCUGUUUAAUCAGCUUCUUGAUAUGCCACACCUGUUAGGUGGAUGGAUGAUAUUGGCAAAGGAGAAAUGCUCACUAACAUUGAUGUAAACCGAUUUGUGCAGAAUAUUUGAGAGAAAUAAGCUUAUUGUGCAUAUGGAAAAUGUCUGAGAUUUUUUAAUUUUAGCUCAUAAAACAUGGGACCAGGACUUUACAUGUUGCAUUUAUAUUUUUGUUCAGUGUAAAUGGUAUUGAUUGAGGCUACCAGUACUCUUCAAGUGAUUGUUAGUGAUAUAGCACCAUCUUGUGGUACAUUUUCACACUGGCGACUUCACAGAGUUUGUCAUAUUGGUUCGGGGAAAGUUGAAUGCCUUUAUUAUGUUGUUACCUUCUAUAAUGAUUCAUUAUGCAUGAUCAUGCAUUAUACAUUUAAGGGUAAUCUGCAGUUGCUACAGAUGUAGGAUCUUAAUUUGAUCAUUUUUUUGGUGAGCAUAUUCAUGCACAGCAGGAUACUUUAAACUUCAGUUUUAAAACAGCUUCUAAAGUUAGUCAUUUCCACUUAGAAAUCUCAGACUUGAUUUGCCCUAAGAAAAAUCUAUCAACCCCAACAAAAAUGUCUGUUAAUUAUAAUCCACAUAAUUCACAUUUCUUGUUGCUGCAGCAUUAUUUUCAUGCUGUAUCAAACUGGCUCAAAUUGAGAUCCUACAUCCAUUUGUGUAUUUAUAAAUGAAUGAUACAGUGCCUUAAGAAAGUAUUCCCACCCCUUGACUUUUUCAACAUUUUGUUGUGUUACAGCCUGAAUUUAAAAUGGAUUAAAUUUAGAUAUUUUUUUUGUCACUGAUGUACGCACAAUACACCAUAAUCGUAAAGUGGAAUUAUGUUUUUAGAAAUGUUUACAAAUUAAUUAAAAAUUAAAAGCUGAAAUGUCUUGAGUCAAUAAAGCAUUCAACCCUUUUAUUAUGGCCUAAAUUAGUUCAAGAGUUAAACCUGCUUAACAAGUCACACAAUAAGUUGCAUGGACUCACUCUGUGUGCAAUAAAAGUGUUUAACAUGACUUUUAAAUGACUACCUCAUCUCUGUACCCCCACACAUACAAUUAUCUGUAAGGCCCCUUAGUCGAGCAGUGAAUGUUAAGCACAGAUUCAACCACAAAGACUAGGGAGGUUUUCCAAUCGUUUGCGAAGAAGGGCACUUAUUGGUAGAUGGAAUACAAUUACAAAUUUAAAAAACUUUAGAUGGUGUAUCAAUACACCCAGUCACAACAAAGAUUCAGGCAUCAUUCCUAACUCAGUUGCCGGAGAGGAAAGAAACUGCUCAAGGAUUUCACCAUGAGGCCAAUGGUGACUUUAAAACAGUUAGAGUUUAAUGGUUGUGAUAGGAGAAAUUGACCAACAACAUUGUGGUUACUCCACAAUACUAACCUAAAUUGCUAAAGGACAGUGAAAGAAGGAAGCCUGUACAUUAUAAAAAUAUUCCAAAUCAUGCAUCCUGUUUGCAAUAAGGCACUAAAGUAAUAUUGUGAAAAAAAAUGUGGCAAAGAAAUGUUCCUUUAUGUCCUGAAUACAAAACAUUACUGUAUGUUUGGGGCAAAUCCAACACAUCACUGAGUACCGCUCUUCAUAUUUUCAAGCACGGUGGUGGCUGCAUCAUGUUAUUAUUAUUGCACACAGCUGUCAAAGGUGAUGCUAACAUGUAUUGACACAGCGGGUUGAAUACUUAGCUAAUCAAGAUAAAUGAAUGUUUUAUUUUCCAUACAUUUUUUUAAACAAAUGUUACAGUAUUUUGUGUAGGUCGUUGACAAAAAAAUAAUAAUAAUAAUUUUGAAUUUGAAUCCCACUUUGUAACACAACAAAAUGUGUAAAAAGUCAAGGGGUAUGAAGACUUUCUGAAGGCACAACAAAAUGUUUAAAAAGUCAAGUGCGUGAAUACCCGUUGCCCAUUUAUUCUUGAAGAAUAUAACAUAUAAAUGCCUCAUAAGCUUAGUUCAACUGCCGUACCCCAUCAGAACCAAAAUAUAAGCUUGUUUUACUCCAAUGUUUGUAAACAUUGCAAAUGUAAACAAACAAACAAACCAAAACCAAUUGUAUUGGUAUACACAUAUUUAGCUACAAAACAUACUUUGAUAUAUUGGGUAUAUCUAUGCAUUUUAGAGUGGUUACAUUUCUCCAGGCUCUUCCCUCCGUUUUUUUUUUACCAAUACAGAGACUGUCCCUUUAACUCAGAAAUGGAUUUCUCAAACAAUAUGUAGCCUACAUAUUCGAGUUGAUUAUUAAGGACAGAAUGGUGGUCUUGCCGCCAUCUCCAUGGUCCCAUAGUCUUCAGUUGGACUGUUUCACUUCUGACUGGUUGAUUGGUUGGCUGUGGUGUAGAGGGCGAGAGGGAGAAAAUAAGAAAUGCAAGAUCAUUGUUGUUUUGUCUAUGGGAAAUGUGAUUUAUUGAUAGGUUUUGAAAAAACAUUCAGACCUAGGGAAAAGUGCUAUACAAUGUAAUCCAUCAAGAAUGACAAGAUAAUAAUUGUACGGCCAGUGCCAGAAUCUCCAAUAGAUCCGUCUUUGUCAGUAGGCUUGUGUGUAUUGAAGCUAUUUCUUAACCACAAGAGGUCAGUAUUUAGUUACAUUUGCGUACACCUCAUCCGGCAUAAAAAAAAUCUAAAAAAACUCCACAGCACUUUGUGGAGAAGGAAAUUACACCCCACGUCUGUGGUUAAAUACAUGUUAUUCCAAUAAGAAUAAUUUCCCCUAUCCACAAGUGUUCCCUGUGGAGUCAGACAAUAUGGCUGCAACUUAUAUUACAUUUCAUAUAGGCGUCAAUGUAACUUUUACUGCAGGCUUGUCUGUUAUCCAGGGUCACAGCCUGUAUAUGCACGUCUCCAAGAUUUCACCCUCGGUUUCUAAAUAUGCUUUAUGUUAUUCAGGGGCUAAGCAGUCGCAUAUCACAUUGACUUAUAUUACAAGUUCCGUCAAGUGAGCCUGCCCUUGAAAUGAGACCAUUCACAUUUCCUUCCACUUCCAAUAAGCAGUGGAAAUAGAUGUAUUGAACAGUAACAGAGAAAGAAAGAGUCUUCCCAGAGGCUGUAGUGAAUUUGAUUUGUGUUCCACUGUAAUCCUAAAUUCGAUGGACUUUGACAGUUGUAUCGUUGUGGUUUUCUUGGAAAAUGUCAUCUCUUUCCUGACUUAUGUUAAGUUUUGUUUCAAUCUGUUUUAUUGAGUUUUGAGCAGCCAACGCCAGGAAAACCGUGUAAAUUAUAUUGAAAAAGGUCAA